rnacentral:rRNA from 1 species
UGCAAGUCGAACGAUGAAGCCCAGCUUGCUGGGUGGAUUAGUGGCGAACGGGUGAGUAACACGUGAGCAACCUGCCCCUGACUCUGGGAUAAGCGCUGGAAACGGCGUCUAAUACUGGAUAUGUCCCGUCACCGCAUGGUGUGCGGGUGGAAAGAUUUUUCGGUUGGGGAUGGGCUCGCGGCCUAUCAGCUUGUUGGUGAGGUAAUGGCUCACCAAGGCGUCGACGGGUAGCCGGCCUGAGAGGGUGACCGGCCACACUGGGACUGAGACACGGCCCAGACUCCUACGGGAGGCAGCAGUGGGGAAUAUUGCACAAUGGGCGGAAGCCUGAUGCAGCAACGCCGCGUGAGGGAUGACGGCCUUCGGGUUGUAAACCUCUUUUAGCAGGGAAGAAGCGAGAGUGACGGUACCUGCAGAAAAAGCACCGGCUAACUACGUGCCAGCAGCCGCGGUAAUACGUAGGGUGCAAGCGUUAUCCGGAAUUAUUGGGCGUAAAGAGCUCGUAGGCGGUCUGUCGCGUCUGCUGUGAAAUCCCGAGGCUCAACCUCGGGCUUGCAGUGGGUACGGGCAGACUAGAGUGCGGUAGGGGAGAUUGGAAUUCCUGGUGUAGCGGUGGAAUGCGCAGAUAUCAGGAGGAACACCGAUGGCGAAGGCAGAUCUCUGGGCCGUAACUGACGCUGAGGAGCGAAAGGGUGGGGAGCAAACAGGCUUAGAUACCCUGGUAGUCCACCCCGUAAACGUUGGGAACUAGUUGUGGGGUCCUUUCCACGGAUUCCGUGACGCAGCUAACGCAUUAAGUUCCCCGCCUGGGGAGUACGGCCGCAAGGCUAAAACUCAAAGGAAUUGACGGGGACCCGCACAAGCGGCGGAGCAUGCGGAUUAAUUCGAUGCAACGCGAAGAACCUUACCAAGGCUUGACAUACACGAGAACGGGCCAGAAAUGGUCAACUCUUUGGACACUCGUGAACAGGUGGUGCAUGGUUGUCGUCAGCUCGUGUCGUGAGAUGUUGGGUUAAGUCCCGCAACGAGCGCAACCCUCGUUCUAUGUUGCCAGCACGUAAUGGUGGGAACUCAUGGGAUACUGCCGGGGUCAACUCGGAGGAAGGUGGGGAUGACGUCAAAUCAUCAUGCCCCUUAUGUCUUGGGCUUCACGCAUGCUACAAUGGCCGGUACAAUGGGCUGCGAUACCGUAAGGUGGAGCGAAUCCCAAAAAGCCGGUCCCAGUUCGGAUUGAGGUCUGCAACUCGACCUCAUGAAGUCGGAGUCGCUAGUAAUCGCAGAUCAGCAAC